UGGGGAAUCUUCCGCAAUGGGCGAAAGCCUGACGGAGCAACGCCGCGUGAGUGAAGACGGCCUUCGGGUUGUAAAGCUCUGUUACACGGGACGAACGGGUUUUGUGCGAACAGCAUAAGACCGUGACGGUACCGUAGAAGAAAGCCACGGCUAACUACGUGCCAGCAGCCGCGGUAAUACGUAGGUGGCAAGCGUUGUCCGGAAUGAUUGGGCGUAAAGGGCGCGCAGGCGGCCGGCCAAGUCUGUCUAAAAAGUGCGGGGCUUAACCCCGUGAGGGGAGAGAAACUGGCCGGCUGAGAGUGUCGGAGAGGAAAGCGGAAUUCCUAGUGUAGCGGUGAAAUGCGUAGAUAUUAGGAGGAACACCGGUGGCGAAAGCGGCUUUCUGGACGACAACUGACGCUGAGGCGCGAAAGCCAGGGGAGCAAACGGGAUUAGAUACCCCGGUAGUCCUGGCCGUAAACGAUGGGUACUAGGUGUGGGAGGUAUCGACCCCUUCCGUGCCGGAGUUAACGCAAUAAGUACCCCGCCUGGGGAGUACGGCCGCAAGGUUG
rnacentral:rRNA from 1 species